GGUUGCCCCAGAAAAACACCAGCAUCUGUUAGAUGGCUUCUCCAUCAAGACUUCAAUCUCAAAGGGCAAUACUGUGCGGCAAAAGAAGAGCUGGCUCCUGGAGGACUUCUGGGGCCCCAGGCAUGGAUCAAUGUUUGCAUCAGAAAAGAAAGCCUGUCAGCAAUGGAGGUGCUGGAGGAUUUCUGGAAGGGGGGGGCCUCAUUCAAGACCACCAAGGGACUGCUGACUGUUCUCGUUCAUGACGCCUCUCUUCAAGGAAAUUGACCCUCCCAGAGUGCAAGACGGAGAAAAAGGUUCUUAAGAACUUCCCCUGGAAAUCACCACUGAAUGGAUGCCAGGCAAUUCUAGAAUCUCCACUCUUUGGUUUUUUGGGCCCUUGGAUGGAUGAG
rnacentral:lncRNA from 1 species